UACGUAGGGGGCAAGCGUUGUCCGGAUUUAUUGGGCGUAAAGCGCGCGUAGGCGGCAAGGUAUGUCGUGCGUGAAAUCUCCCGGCUUAACUGGGAGGGGCCGUGCGAAACUGCCUGGCUUGAGGUCGGAAGGGGAAAGUGGAAUUCCGGGUGUAGUGGUGGAAUACGUAGAUAUCCGGAGGAACACCAGCGGCGAAGGCGGCUUUCUGGUCGAUUCUGACGCUGAGGCGCGAAAGCGUGGGGAGCGAUCCGG
rnacentral:rRNA from 1 species